AGGGAUUCGCCUUUGCCUCAGACAGAAGAACAACGGAUUGAACAGGACAACCGGGAAGGGAAGCCUGACAUAGUAGAUAUUGAUUUGAACAAAGGAACUGAAACCGGUACCAGAAACCAAGCAAGAGAUGGAAUUCAAAAUGAAACAGAUGACCAACCUACAAUAAGAAAGACGAAAACGGAAUUAGGAAUUCCAUUCUCUAAGACGAACUAAAGGAAUGUCUCUAAGCAGCCAAGG
rnacentral:lncRNA from 1 species